GGGGAAUCUUCCGCAAUGGGCGCAAGCCUGACGGAGCAACGCCGCGUGAGGGAGGAAUGUCUGUGGAUUGUAAACCUCUUUUCUCUGUGAAGAAGAUCUGACGGUAGCAGAGGAAUCAGCAUCGGCUAACUCCGUGCCAGCAGCCGCGGUAAGACGGAGGAUGCAAGCGUUAUCCGGAAUUAUUGGGCGUAAAGCGUCCGUAGGCGGUCAAUUAAGUCAGUUGUUAAAGACUGCAGCUCAACUGUGGGAGAGCAACUGAAACUGAUUGACUAGAGUAUGGUAGGGGUAGAGGGAAUUCCUAGUGUAGCGGUGAAAUGCGUAGAUAUUAGGAAGAACACCAGUGGCGAAGGCGCUCUACUGGGCCUGUACUGACACUGAGGGACGAAAGCUAGGG
rnacentral:rRNA from 1 species